GGAAACUGCUUCAGUCUUGUCUCCCGCAUCGAGCAAACUAACGAGCACCAUUUUAAACUGAUGACUGUUUGUUUAAAUUCCGCUGUACAUGACUUGGACGGCGAAGCUUUGACAGUUGCCAAAGUUGGAUUUACUUUUUCGCCACUUCAGACAGAUCCCAGCGGUGAUCGCGUGGACAUGGAGAGUCUGUAAAUAAAAAUACUGCGCGAGGUACCGAGGGCGCAGUUUUGCUUCAGACGAUGUUUCAUCUUGAGGGCAAGAUUGUCUUGCAGACGGAAAUAAACUGACUCAACCGGUGUAAGGAGUCAAAUCUGGAAUAAAAGUUGUCUUUCAUGUUAUCUCUGCCUUCACUGACUCCUUCACGCAGAUAGAGACACACUGACCCGGGGGUCCCCGGGUUCCCGGCCUGAUUAACCCUUAAGGAGCCGCACCGGAGCAAAUGUUAACCAGGCUAAUCAACUCCAAGAGUCUGAUUGAAUUAGAUGACUGUGGGAUCAGCACAGAAACUAUACUGCUCCAAAUCUGAAAAAAAAACAUGAAGUCAAAUUUUUUGAUCUAUUUUACAAAAUUGUAUCAAUUUAAUUUCUAAAUAAAUAAUGAAAAAUCCACAAACAGCAUAUGGUAACAUGCAACAGGUUUCUAGUUUACAAUAAAAAAUAAUCAGCAAAAUUCAACAUUUAAAACUCUUGUUAUAAACAGCGUUAUGGUAUAUUUCUCCUUCAUAAAGAUAUCUCUUGAUUGAUGGUGACAAUGUGCCCCACAUCUCAUCACAUUAGUACCUGCUGCAUGACACAAAAGCCAUCUAAAGGUUUCUGUGUCUUCUCUCUUUAAAGCUCUGUACUGUUGUGAUGCUGCCAUGUGCACACAUGAAAAAGAACUGGAGCAAUUAGUCUCAUGUCUGCUUUACAUUUAGCCUCAUUAAGGUGAAGACUAUUUGCUGACUAAACACAGUUUAAGUUUCACAAAGCUGUAAUGGACUUUAAGGGCCAGAUAAUUACAACAUGAUAUAUAAACUAAACCCUGUAAUAUAAGAAUAUUUAACAUUUUAAUUUGACUAUCUAAAUGAUCUGUUUAAUAUGACAACGAAAAUCAUUAUCUCAACAGUUGCAAGAUUUAGACUUUUUUAACAUAUGGCUUUUAUCUCAGUGAGGUAUUCUUUGUGCGCUCUCUUACGGCACUUUCAUGGUUUAGGAUGUGACUGACUUUCUUUGUGGUUGAAUUUAAACACAGCUAUUACAGACUUUUACAACAAAAAGUAUUCGGGUCUUUAGAUUUACCUUGAUGUUAUUUGGCUUCCUAAUUAAAUAUAAUAAGGAAAAUUAUCACAAUUAAAUUCACCUUAUGGUAAAAACUGCACAUGUGACAUUUGGAUAUUUGGAUGUAUGCACAAGUAUUUAAGCUAGACAGAGAUGUAGUAAAACUUUCUAAAGACACAGUCUAUCACUCAUUUUAUGUGAAGGUGUGCGUCGGUGUGAGCAAACAUAGUUGCCUUUUCUAAAGAGUUCCUUCAGUGCUGUAGAUCACUCUCUUUCUCUGUCUGCAUGCCUCAGGGGCUGCUAUCUGAAAAGGCAAUAGAUUCUAGCUAGCUCACUGUGUUCAAUUUGCCAAUGAUAGAUUAUAGUGCCAAUUUAAACAGAUAGGGAUCAAUUUGUCUCAAUGAUCACUCUUUAGGCUGACUGCCAGCGUGCUCUUAAUGUAUUUGUAAAUGCAGCUUGUUCAAAUCGCUGCUGUUGGGUUGAAAGUGAUAAAAACUGUAACACAGAGAUGAUAUGUGAAAUGAUAAAUGAUGGCUUAUUUUGGCUGCUGAAGAUGGAGAUAGAUGGAGCAUGCAUGGUGAUGACUGGAGGCAGCGGCAUUGUAGCAGCGCUGACCAGAAGGUCAAGGGUUUAACUGGGAGGACUUGCUGGGAAAGUCUGGGUAGGGGAAUUGUGUGGUGAGUGCUCUCUAACCCUUUAGGAACUACUGCUGAAGUACCCUUCGGCAAAGCAGCUUAAACCCCAUCUGUCCCAGUGGAGCUGCACAGCCACCAGCAGUACAACACUGUGUCUCUUUGAGUGUGACCACCCUCCCUUUUCUUUUAGAGAGUGGACAGUCCACUUGCCUGACACUUUUUUUUAUCACUCCAUGUACUCAGACAGUGAAAAAAGUUUAGGAGAAGACGAGAGAGAAAGCUGCUGCAGCCAGACAUGGUUCACAUGUGGCCCCAGAGGCAGCAGACAUUGGAUUGAAUUACUGUAACACAAGGUGUAAUGUGGGAGCAGGGUGGAUGUCAAAGGAGCGGAUGUAGAGGAGGGACACUCCAGCUUUCUAUUACACCUAUUUAAUGUUGGAUUAUGUGGUUUAUUUCUCUCAAAUUUCAGCUAACUAUUAAUUAGUUCAAAAGGCUGCCACAGUUUCUAUACUGAUCAUCAGGGUAUCAUUAGGAUGAAUGUGUGAUUGUUACACUGUUGGCUGUUAAAUCGAACUAAACUAUAGCAUGGGGUUACAUGAUUUGUAGAGCAGGGAGAAAAAUACCACAAAUAAUGCAGUCAUACCUUAUAAAGAUUUGGCAAUUUUUAAACAGUGUACUUUCAUGUGAAAUGUAUGUAUGUGAUGAACAAUAAAGUAUUUCUGUUGUAAAUGAA